CGUAUCUCGUGACUCUGAAUGUAUCACAAGUCCUUAACACGUAUACAAUAUCGUCAUCUUACCAUUUGAAAUGAUGCAUUUCGUUGCUGCAUUUUCUUAAAUAUCGCAUAUUGGAUAUUGACUAAAUACGAAAAAGCGUCAGCGGUAUAAAGAGAAAUAAAACAAUAACAUAAAUAUAGACCAUGAUAUAGGGUAAGGUGAAUAUAGUUAGUCCCAUGUAUUAAGCUGACAAUGAGAAACUAUUAUAGCGGAAGUAAAUGUGUAACUGAACCUUUGGAUAUUGUAUGUGUGGCUGAUAAGUUUGUGCGUUAUUGAUAAAUCUCUUGUGAAGAUCAGCUGAUUCGAGAUCACCACAACACAAAGGACGUAAAUAAACCAUGGGUAUAGGUGAAGGUCACGGAGAAGGAAAAGGUCAAGGUGGAGCUGGUCUUCUGAACGCCAUCUUGUGGUUUUUCAUCUUAGUUUUGCUCGCUUGGCCAAUUGCAUUCUUCGUCUCAUGGCUGUAUGUCCUGCUUCUUCCAUUUGGAGCAUGUAUCAAAGUUUGUCAUGACGCCUGUGAUUCGCUUCUUAAAAUCGUCAGACUGCCAUUUUCGUGUGCAGAAAACAUGAUUCACAUGAAUUCUGUAUGCUGAUUAGAAAAUUGUCCAAUGCAGCCUGCCCGAACAUUGAAGUAAACAAGUUUUCAAAUUAUAUUAGUGGUAUACCUAGAAUUUGGCGCUGUUUCCCUUCAAACUUUUACUGAUUUCCAAAGUCCAUGAACAUAAAGAUUCCGGAUGUUUUCAUAUUGUUUGAUUGGUUAAACCAUGCAUGCAGCUACCAAUUCCAUUUACCCGUACUGACUAGAACUAUGCGUGAAUCGUUGCAUUGAAGUACAACUGCAAAAUAUUUCGAAGGGUGUUAAGCUAUAUAAGUAUACCUUCCUGAUGGACCAACAUGAACAAAAAAUAUAUAUUAAUCGUACACAAUGUAGUAAAUCCUUGGAUAUAAUUCCUUUGGGUUUUUUUCCACGCUUACUACCGAAAUAUUUCAACGCCCCUUUGCCUUUUUUCUCUCACACAACCUGUUUACAACCCCUCCGUGUAACGCCAGACCCCUUAUAGCGCCAAUAUUUUUCUAGAUUGUAAAUUUAUGUCAAUAAUUGGAUCAGUCAACGUAAUUCAUAAAAGUAACUGUCCUAACAUAGACAAAAUAAUAUCAACUAUGUAGAGUAAAUCAAGACAUAAAUUUUAUGUGUGACGUCACGUUGUUGCAUUUUUGUCGAUAAUAAAUUAAAGUUUAAAAAUUGUCCGCGGUAAUAAUUUACACCAGGUACAUAAUGCCAACAUUUUUCAAGCUUUUGGGCGUUAUAAAGACGUUUUUGUAUAUGUCGAUUGACAAAUAUAAAGUAAAAGAGGACACUGAAAUACAUUGGCGGAAAGCAAGGUGGCAAAUAAAUCGAAGGGCAUCACAUCAAGGUUUCUCUGUAGUUGUUUUUAUAACAGUGUCCAACGUUUGAAGACAACAAAAAUCGCUCCUGAAACAAACUAAAAUAUACAAUAUGUAAAAUAUUCAUUUUGAUUGCCACGUUGUUAGUUUGUUUUAAUACAUUAUAUAUCUCUUAGUCCUGUGCAUAAUUAGUUUGUCUACAUUAAAACCCUUUUUUAUUACA